rnacentral:rRNA from 1 species
GACGAACGCUGGCGGCGUGCCUAAUACAUGCAAGUUGAGCGCUGAAGGUUGGUACUUGUACCAACUGGAUGAGCAGCGAACGGGUGAGUAACGCGUGGGGAACCUGCCUUUGAGCGGGGGACAACAUUUGGAAACGAAUGCUAAUACCGCAUAAAAACUUUAAACACAAGUUUUAAGUUUGAAAGAUGCAAUUGCAUCACUCAAAGAUGAUCCCGCGUUGUAUUAGCUAGUUGGUGAGGUAAAGGCUCACCAAGGCGAUGAUACAUAGCCGACCUGAGAGGGUGAUCGGCCACAUUGGGGCUGAGACACGGCCCAAACUCCUACGGGAGGCAGCAGUAGGGAAUCUUCGGCAAUGGACGAAAGUCUGACCGAGCAACGCCGCGUGAGUGAAGAAGGUUUUCGGAUCGUAAAACUCUGUUGGUAGAGAAGAACGUUGGUGAGAGUGGAAAGCUCAUCAAGUGACGGUAACUACCCAGAAAGGGACGGCUAACUACGUG